UCACAUACAAGAGUAUCACUACAUUCC
rnacentral:piRNA from 1 species